AUACGAAAGGUGCAAGCGUUGUUCGGAUUUACUGGGCGUAAAGGGAGUGUAGGUUGUUUAUUAAGUCGGAUGUGAAAUCCCGGGGCUCAACCUCGGAACUGCAUUCGAUACUGGUAGACUAGAGUUCGGGAGGGGUAAGCGGAAUUCCGUGUGUAGCAGUGAAAUGCGUAGAUAUACGGAGGAACACCUGAGGCGAAGGCGGCUUACUGGACCGAUACUGACACUGAGACUCGAAAGCGUGGGUAGCAAACAGGAUUAGAAACCCUAGUAGUCC
rnacentral:rRNA from 1 species